rnacentral:rRNA from 1 species
AUUGAACGCUGGCGGCAUGCUUUACACAUGCAAGUCGAACGGUAACAGGUUAAGCUGACGAGUGGCGAACGGGUGAGUAAUGCAUCGGAACGUGCCCGGUCGUGGGGGAUAACGCAGCGAAAGCUGCGCUAAUACCGCAUACGAUCUGAGGAUGAAAGCGGGGGACCGUAAGGCCUCGCGCGAUCGGAGCGGCCGAUGUCAGAUUAGGUAGUUGGUGGGGUAAAGGCUCACCAAGCCAACGAACUGUAGCUGGUCUGAGAGGACGACAAGCCAGACUGGCACCGAGACACGGCCCAGACUCCUACGGGAGACAGGGGUGGGGAAUUUUGGACAAUGGGCGAGAGCCUGAUUCAGCAAUGCCGCGUGCAGGAAGAAGGCCUUCGGGUUGUAACCUGCUUUUGUACGGAGCGAAAAGGUCUCCUCUAAUACAGGGGGCUCAUGACGGUACCGUAAGAAUAAGCACCGGCUAACUACGUGCCAGCCGCCGCAGUAA